AGACCCCAAUCCCCUCCCUGUGCUGGGGACAGAGCAGGCAUCCUGGUUUACAGCUCCCCCCAUGAGCUGCAGUGCAUUUUCCAGCUCUGGCCAGGUUUAAAUCAAGACGGGGUGUUUUCCUAAGAGAUCUGCUCUGGUUCCAGCAGGGAUUAAUUCAGGGCCUGGGUCAGGCAGGGGGCCAGAUGACAUGAUCACAGGGAUCCCUUCCAGCUUUGAGAUCUAUGAGAACCUUGAGCUGUCAGCAGAGCCCCAGGGCAGCUCAUUGUAAGGGCUGACAGCACAGUCCUCAUCAGCUGUGGAUGCCUUGGUAGGAGGAGGAGCCAGGUUGAUCUGCAGGUGGACAGGGAGUUUCACCACCUGCAGCUGAUCAGUGAGUAAAGCAGGGCCAGGAAGUAUAUUUAAGGGCCGGCUCUAGGCCAGGCUCUCUUUUAUGGGGAAGGUUAUGACAGAGAAUCCCCUUUGAAAACUGCUCCAGCUUGCUGCUAGUUUGGGGUUUUCCAGAACCUUCCCCCUCCACUGGGGGUGGGAACAGGCUUCUCAUUUCCAGCCUCAGCUGAUCCCUGGGGAGUAGGAGUCGCAUCACCAGAAGAGCACAGCCUGCCUGGAUGGUGUUACUGCUGGAGUCACUAGAGGGGAAAAGGAUAAUGGGUGCAGUGCGGGGCCGCGCCCUCAGAAAGUCCAACAGCUGUUUGACUCUGGGCUGGAUUCUGCUUUUGAUUCCUGCUGUGUAACCCCACUGACUCCACUUCAGACCAGAUAUCCCCCCACCCUGUCUCUCCCCAUUGGGUCAUUCUGGUUUUGCGGGUCUAAUCGGAGCACCAUUGACCACUGUAUAGCCUGGUCUCUCCAGGAGCCGUUCAGGGACCCGGGCGCUUUGGUGAAUUGUCACAGCAUGUUUGAAACCCUGUUGGUAUUUCUGUAACCUUUGGGGGCGUUUUUAAGUCACGGAAAUAAUUCUGUAGGAAGAGAGACACUGAGACCAAGGCAUAUCUCCUUCAGUCAAAGCGGUGUCAAAUGCCAAGGAGAGGGCGGCCCUUAUUUAAGGGCGAGGGCGUGGGGAGGAACAAAGACGGGCUUUACUUCAGCAGUGAAUGUGCCAAGCAUUUAAGGCCGAUGUCCCAGGGUGGCUGGCUUCUUUAAGAGGUGCCAGGUUCGGGUCUAGUCAUGAUGACCUUUUUAAAGAAGGCACCCACCUAUAAUUAACGGCCGAUGUGGCUGGUGGGCAGUGUUGAUGAAUGAUAGCGUCAAUUGCUUGGCCAUGCUUUGGUUUGUUAUGAAAUAUAUAAAAGAGCUCAAAUAACCAAUAUCAGUGAGGUUUAUUGCAGAAAGUCAAUAAUGGCAUAGUACAGGAAGAAAAGUUCAAUAAGAUACCGUGACAGAACGCACCCCUGUAUUCACAUCUGACACUACUGUAAAAAUCUUUGUACAAAAUAUGCCUGCUUGAGGAACUGUGUGACAAGUAAAACUUGCUGCUAAUGAUAUCACGGUAAAAUGUACAUAGCGACAUUAUCGGUAAAGUUCUAAACAUAACCUGAAAUCAAUACUGUGUGUUUACCGGACAUGUCUGAGGAGUGGGCAAACCUGUUUCUCAAACACAAAAGACAAGUUGAUACCCCAGGCGGGUGUCAUCACCUAUCAAGUGCAGGGCCGGAUUAAUGCAGGGGCUUUAGGGGCUGCAGCCCAGGGCCUUGGGCUAAGGGGGGCCCCUCGGACCCUCCAGCCGGAUGUAGCCCACUGCUUCUUUUCAUCUGGCCCGGGGUAAGUCUCCGCGCUGCGGGCUGGACACUGUUCCCCAAGCCUCGGCGCCCCCUUCAGGCCCGGAGCUGCUAGCACAGGCUCGCCAAUGUGCCCUUGCGGCAUCUAGGCGAGGGGCGUUCAGGGAAUCUCUGUGUGCUGCCCCCAGCCUCGGCUCCACAGCUUCCAUUGGCCGGGUAUCCCAGGAGCUGCCCAAGGUAAGCGUCUCCCGGCUGGAGCCUGCACCCCAAUCCCCUGCCCUGGGCCACUCCCCCACUCCAAACCCUCAGGGGCCCCACAAAAAUCGAAUAGUCCUGGGCCCACAGGAGAGUUAAUCCGGCCCUGAUCAAGUGGUCAUUCUUUGGCAAGGAAGCAGGGCAGGAACACACAGAUCCGAUCUUGGCAAAUGACAGUAUGAAACCUUUCCCCCAUCAAACUCUGUGUCUCCUUGCUCUCAGCUGGAAAGCGCUUUUAACCAGGGGUCGUGCUCAGGAACAUGGUUUCCAAAGGGUGACUGAGCUAUGAAAGAGGGGCAAAAACAUCCCAAGUUAUCUCUUCUUGUCCACCUCUCUUUCACCUAAGCGGACAAAAGGAAACAGCCACUGGACCUUGGGAGCAGAUCCUGCCCUGUAAUUUGGUCAGCAAUGCUACUGAACAUCUGUGAAAAAUACCUCUUUGAUAGGGAAGUCACAAGAGCGGUCAUGCAACCUUUCCAGCGGUAUGUUUUGGUGUCCAGGGCAGCCGGCAGAGAGGUAAAGCAUUCUGGGGUAGGGGGCAGGACUGGAAAGACCUGGCUGGUAGUUCAGCUGCUAGUCCCAUCUGGGCUGGGGGGGACAGGACUUCCUCUUCCACUGCACAGCAUCCGGGGUCGUUUCAGACCCACCCCCAGAUUUCUCUCCCAGCUGUAGGACGUGCCGCGUGCACAUCCCGCCACCCCCACCCCAACACUUCCUGCACCCAUUGCUCUUCAGCUACAGGGGGGAGGGAUUGCUGUAGAGGGAGCUGCUCCCCCUGUGCCGAACCCCAGGCCCCCUCAUUCUCAGAUCCUCCUGCUGAGCCUCACCCCCCAC